rnacentral:rRNA from 1 species
GCUCAGGAUGAACGCUAGCGGCAGGCCUAACACAUGCAAGUCGAGGGGUAACAGGGAGCUUGCUCCGCUGACGACCGGCGCACGGGUGCGCAACGCGUAUGCAAUCUACCUCUUACUAAGGGAUAGCCCAGAGAAAUUUGGAUUAAUAUCUUAUGUGAUAUGCGACUGGCAUCGGUUGCAUAUUAAAGGUUACGGUAAGAGAUGAGCAUGCGUCUCAUUAGUUAGUUGGUAAGGUAACGGCUUACCAAGACUUCGAUGAGUAGGGGUCCUGAGAGGGAGAUCCCCCACACUGGUACUGAGACACGGACCAGACUCCUACGGGAGGCAGCAGUGAGGAAUAUUGGACAAUGGACGGAAGUCUGAUCCAGCCAUGCCGCGUGUAGGAAGACUGCCCUAUGGGUUGUAAACUACUUUUAUACAGGAAGAAUAAGAUCUACGUGUAGAUUGAUGACGGUACUGUAAGAAUAAGGACCGGCUAACUCCGUGCCAGCAGCCGCGGUAAUACGGAGGGUCCGAGCGUUAUCCGGAAUUAUUGGGUUUAAAGGGUCCGUAGGCGGGCUGUUAAGUCAGAGGUGAAAUGCUGCGGCUCAACCGUAUGCACUGCCUUUGAUACUGGCGGUCUUGAGUUAUAGUGAAGUGGCUAGAAUAAGUAGUGUAGCGGUGAAAUGCAUAGAUAUUACUUAGAAUACCGAUUGCGAAGGCAGGUCACUAACUAUACACUGACGCUGAUGGACGAAAGCGUGGGUAGCGAACAGGAUUAGAUACCCUGGUAGUCCACGCCGUAAACGAUGGAUACUAGCUGUUCGGUUUUCGGACUGAGCGGCCAAGCGAAAGUGAUA